CGACUGGCUGUGACCUCUAACAACGAUGUGUUCAAUAGAGCCGAUGGGAGGAUCAUUGUGCUAAAAUACCGAAAAACGCCAUUUUCGGUAGAAGACAGGCAAAAGCUUAAAGCCGGCAUUGGAUAAUAGCUGAAAUUCACACGGGGUUUCUACUAGCAUGGGUGAUCAGAAUGUUUCCUUUUUGGCAACAGCAAUUCCCGAC